GACUGAGUGAUACCUCUAUGUAACUUCAGUCUCAAAGGUGGAUUUGCUCCACAUUUUGUGCAUUUUGCGCUCUGUGCAGGUGACCGUAAAUGAAGUGCAACACAUGAAUGUAUUCCCCCUGAGAAAUGCAGUAAACUAUUUUGCUAUCAAGAGCAGUAAGAUUUCAUCAUACAGUGAAAUUGUUCUGAUUCUUUCCAGUAAAAGCGUCUGCAUAGGCUUUGGGAGGAAUUUUACAAAUGAAACACAUGGCUUCCAAGGAGUACAGUUGUUUCUGUGUUGGACCAUAGGGUGACGUUUCCCAGGUCCCAUAACUGCAGCAAAGCCAGCAAAACCCAUCAGCUAAGAUAAUUAUAGAGGAAUGUUAAAGGUGAUGCAAAGGCUCAAUGAGCUACUCUGGAGCUGUAUGCUGAAAUCCUACAGAGCUGGACUUGGAAGAGUCCACCUGGUGGGCUUGUCCAACUGCUGCCCAUCCUGUAAGGAUGAAGAGCACUGAGUGGGGAGUGCAAGCACCCUGUCCUCAGAGGAGUCACCUGACAGACUAUUCCUGGGCUGGGAUUCCCUUUGGCUGAUGUGAAAGCAGAAUGAUCGUUUUACUUUUAUUCCCAUACUACUUGAAUUUUCUGUUGGGCUUCUUCAGAGUUGUGUGCCCUGCUGGGAUGAUGUGUGAGUUUCUUUCUGAAGUUAUGUACUGUUGAUAUCUGUACUUUAAGUUUUAUUGGAUUGUCCUAUAGGUCACAUCACUAAGCAGAAUCUACACAGCCCUGGAUGCUGCAGCCCUGCCCAACACAUCCUCCCAAAGGUGAAAAUCUCAGAAAGCAGCGAUAUGGACAUCUUCACAUACAUAUGUGUUUGUGGAGGGGAUUAUCAGCCCCUCUUCUGUUUUUGCUCUUUUUAUCCAUGGAAUAGGACUUUGAACUAGAAUGUACUAAUCCUAGAUUUUUUUCUGGAAUAAAUACCUUUGUGAUUUGAUCUGAGCAGUCUGAAAAGGGUAUGGGUUUUCUAGGUGUGGUUUCAUAGUUCUGCAGUGUGUUUAUCUGCUACUACAGAUAUCCCUAAAUCUGAAAAAGGGUUGAGAAUAACAACAAAAUAAAAAUAAAAAUAAAAGUGAGCUUGUGUGAGUUAAAUGAAAAUAUGUGAUAAAAUUAUUAAACAGUGCCCAUUUCAACCGAUGCACAUUAUUUAUUCAGACUGCACAUCACACACACAAAAAUAAAGGUCUUUUAAAAAUGUAAGCUUAAAGCUAUAGUCUGUGGAAAUGUAUACUUUAUGUAGAAACAUCUACCAUUCAAAACAAAUGUUGUUAGGGUAAUAGGCAUUUCUGCAUGCAGAGAGAAUUCACACAAACCCAAUCUACAAAGUAGAUGAAUCCAUUAUGUAAAUCUGAAGUUGUCAAAGUGAUCUAUUAUAACUAUUUCUACUGUCAGCUGUUCCACAUAGCACAAAUUCAGGAAUCUACUCAUCCUGAUGACGGA